UACGUAGGGUCCGAGCGUUGUCCGGAAUUACUGGGCGUAAAGAGCUCGUAGGUGGUUUGUCGCGUUGUUCGUGAAAACUCACAGCUCAACUGUGGGCGUGCGGGCGAUACGGGCAGACUAGAGUACUGCAGGGGAGACUGGAAUUCCUGGUGUAGCGGUGGAAUGCGCAGAUAUCAGGAGGAACACCAGUGGCGAAGGCGGAUCUCUGGGCCGGUAACUGACGCUGGAGGAGCGAAAGCAUGGGGAGCGAACAGG
rnacentral:rRNA from 1 species